rnacentral:rRNA from 1 species
GUCCAUGACGUGCUUGCGCUCUUGGGAAUGCCUGAGAGCAUGUCUGCUUCAGUGCUUCUACUUUCAUUUUCUGCUGCUCUUGUUAUCGGGAGCAGUGUUGCUGCAUGCUUCUGCAAAAGGCACUGGCAUGCUAAGUAUCAAGUUUUGCUUGCUGUUCUGACUGAUCAACAUCUCAUGUCGUUUCAGUUGGCGAAACAAAAGCUGAAGUGUGUUCUUAACACUUCCUAGCAUGAAGUCAGACAAGUGAACCCGCUGAACUUAAGCUAUGGAUCCCCAUAGCAUUUGCAAUCUUGACCUCAAAUCAGGCAAGGCUACCCGCUGAACUUAAGCAUAUGGAUCCCCACAAGUGCCCACUC